ACCUCUGUCUUACAGUCAUCCUGUUAAGGGGCUCUCAGGCAUUCAAGUUCUUAAGGAUUCAAAAUGACAUCCAUUCUCAAACAUGGAGAGGGCUUCAUACAAAGACAUUUGAGAGGAAUCUCAGAGGGAUGUGCAACUCCUGGGAGUAGGGAAGAGAACCACAGGGCAUCAUGGGUAAGGACUGGCAUCCAAGAAAGCAGAUGGCUGAAAGAGAAGAACAGGUUCUAAAAAGAAAAGAGGUAUGUCGCUAUGAGCAAUUUGGUUCUCAUACAGAAUACAUCACAGGGGACAGCAAGAUGACUCAGUGGGUACAGGAGCUUGCUGCCAAGUCUGAGGGCCAGAGUUCAAUCUCCAGGACCCAUAUGGUAGAAGGAGAGAACUGACUACUGAAAGUUGGCCUCCUUCUUCAGUGCUCUGGGGCAUGCACACACACACACACAUAUAUAUAUACAGAGAGAAUAAGAGGCAAAGACAGAGGAGGCUCAUGAACUUGAGUUAAGCCU
rnacentral:lncRNA from 1 species